rnacentral:rRNA from 1 species
GACGAACGCUGGCGGCGUGCCUAAUACAUGCAAGUCGAACGCAGUGGGGACGGGUGAGUAACACGUGGGUAACCUCCCAUCAGAGGGGAUAACACUUGGAAACAGGUGCUAAACCGCUACUGAUGGAUGGACCCGCAGUGCAUUAGCUAGUUGGUGAGGUAACGGCUCACCAAGGCAACGAUGCAUAGCCGACCUGAGAGGGUGCUCGGCCACACUGGAACUGAGACACGGCCCAGACUCCUACGUGAGGCAGCAGUGGGGAAUCUUCGGCAAUGGACGAAAGUCUGACGGAGCAACGCCGCGUGAGUGAAGAAGGCUUUCGGAUCGUAAAACUCUGUUGUUAGAGAAGCGGUAUCUAACCAGAAAGCCACGGCUAACUACGUGCCAGCAGCCGCGGUAAUUC